AACUUUAACAUUUUCUUCGCGUUAGUGAAUCAAGCGAGUCUGGAUACGAACGAUCGUAUUUGUACAUGCAUGUCCGUUUUUCUUUUCUGCGAAGAUCGUGGCAUUAAGUGCAAAGAUACAAUAUGUGACUUAUAAAAUCGAUAAAUUUGAGAUCAGUGUGUAAAAUUGCAAAUAUAUAAGGAAAGAAUAUAAAAGAUGCCAGGUACUUUGACAUAUCCGAUCUAUGCUGGCGUUGAUUCACUCCCUCCUAGAAGACGCGCUUAUACCUGGAAUGCACAACAUCGUUCUGCAUCACGUGUAACAGAAGUUAAUGCGCAGCUUGGUCGAGUAUCGUUAUCAGGGCCUUCGGGAGACGACACAACAAGCAAGUUGAGAUUAAAAGUAAUUGCUGGGCAUCAUUUAGCUAAGAAAGAUAUUUUUGGUGCAAGUGAUCCCUAUGUACGCGUUGAUUUGAAUACGAUAAAUGGCGAUCAGACAGUAGAUUCUGCACUUACAAGAACUAAGAAGAAAACAUUGAAUCCUGUCUGGGAAGAAGAAUUUAUAUUUAGAGUUAAACCAGUAGAACACAAAUUGGUCUUACAAGUUUUCGAUGAAAAUAGAUUGACAAGAGAUGAUUUUCUUGGUAUGGUAGAAUUAACAUUGAUUAAUUUACCAAAGGAACAAGAAGGACGCGCUAUUCCUGCUAGAAAUUAUGUACUUCGUCCACGUAGUAAUCAUUCCAGUCAGCGGUCGCGAGUUAAGGGAACAUUGGAACUGUAUCAUGCAUACAUUUCCGACUCAUCUAGUAUUGAAAAUGACAAUGGAGAUGUGUCAGAUUCGGGAGGAUGGGAAUUAGUACAGCCAGAAAAUAACACUCCAGUAGAACAAGCUGCAGAUAUUACAAUGGUUAAUAGGCCAUUACCACCAGGAUGGGAAGAAAGACAGGAUGCAAAUGGUCGUACAUACUAUGUUAAUCAUAUAGCGCGUUUUACACAAUGGGAACGGCCAGAACCGGAUACAACAGCAACGAGUGGAAUUGUUGAACAACGUAAUUUGGAUACAGCGGCUACUGAAUUUCAACGACGAUUCCACAUUAGUGCUGAUGAUGAAGGAAGACAUAGAAAUUCGGUAGUAAAUCAGGAUGGUGAAGUUCUACGCGAGGAUGACGAUGAAGAUUCGGAAGCAAGAAAUUGUGAGGGUGGGGAUCAUAGGGGAGGGGGUAUUGGGGAUACUUCUUCAGACUCUGGACGUUCUGUUGAUCAACGUGGCUACCUUAGCGAAUCUGAAGAGCAGACUGAUGAUAAUGUUGAUAGUCCAGCUGGUUCAAGACGUUCAUCAGAACAGAGUGAAAGUCCCAAACCUAUUCUUCCCAUGUCCAAUGACGAAGGAUUGCCACCUGGAUGGGGCAUGCAAGUAGCACCUAAUGGUAGAAUAUUUUUUAUUGAUCAUAAUGAGAGGACAACAACUUGGAUUGAUCCUAGAACAGGGAGACCAAGUUCUAUACCUAAUCAUAUUGCACCGUCGACGGCACCGAGAAGUGAUAUAGAUCAGUUAGGACCGCUUCCAGAAGGUUGGGAGGAAAGAAUCCAUACUGAUGGACGAAUUUUCUUCAUAGAUCAUAAUACAAGGACAACACAAUGGGAAGACCCACGUAUGUCUAAUCCUCAAAUUGCUGGCCCAGCUGUACCGUAUUCUAGGGAUUACAAGCGUAAAUAUGAAUAUCUAAAAUCACAAUUAAGAAAGCCUAAUAAUGUUCCUAAUAAGUUUGAGAUAAAAGUCGGACGGAACAAUAUUUUGGAAGAUUCAUAUCGUAUUAUAAGUUCUGUUAAUCGAGUCGAUAUUCUAAAGACAAAACUGUGGGUAGAAUUUGAAGGUGAAAUAGGCUUAGAUUAUGGUGGCCUUGCAAGAGAAUGGUUCUUCUUAUUGUCUAAGGAAAUGUUUAAUCCAUACUAUGGACUUUUUGAAUACUCUGCAACAGAUAAUUAUACGCUUCAAAUUAAUCCCUGUUCUGGUGUAUGUAAUGAGGAGCAUUUGAAUUACUUUAAAUUUAUUGGACGUAUAGCAGGGAUGGCUGUUUAUCAUGGCAAGCUUUUGGAUGCUUUCUUUAUUCGACCAUUUUACAAGAUGAUGUUGGGUAAACCAAUUGAUCUGAAAGACAUGGAAAGUGUUGAUUCAGAAUAUUAUAAUUCUCUUCUAUGGAUUAAAGAGAAUGAUCCCAGUGAGUUAGAACUCACUUUCUGUCUGGACGAAGAAAGUUUUGGCCAUACUUCUCAAAGAGAAUUAAAGCCAGAUGGUGCUAAUAUUCCUUUAACUGAUGAAAAUAAGGAUGAAUAUAUAAGUUUAGUCAUACAAUGGCGAUUUGUAUCUCGUGUGCAAGAACAAAUGAAUGCUUUUUUGGAAGGGUUUAAUGCUCUUAUACCAUCAACAUUGGUGAAAAUAUUUGAUGAACAUGAACUAGAGCUGUUGAUGUGUGGUAUACAGCAUAUUGAUGUGAAAGACUGGAAACAAAAUACUUUAUAUAAAGGAGACUAUCACGCAAAUCACAUUGUUGUGCAAUGGUUUUGGAGAGUUGUUCUGUCAUUUAGUAAUGAAAUGCGUUCUAGAUUGUUACAAUUUGUGACUGGCACAUCACGUGUGCCGAUGAAUGGAUUCAAAGAACUUUAUGGUAGUAAUGGACCGCAAUUAUUUACAAUUGAGAGAUGGGGUACACCAGAAAAUUAUCCAAGAGCUCAUACUUGUUUUAAUCGUAUUGACCUUCCUCCAUAUAAAAGUUAUCAACAACUCAGGGAUAAGCUAGUUAAAGCUAUUGAAGGUUCUCAAGGCUUCGCUGGAGUCGACUAGCACGAAAUACCUUUAUUCAUGAUGAUAUCUGUAAUAUAAUGUAUAUAUUACAUAUAUAUCUAUAUAGAUAUGCCAUAUUUUUACUAUUUCAACUUUAGGAUUUCUUAAGAGAAGUGAUUUGGCUGCUAUAACAAUGUGAUAUUAUGAUAUUGAUUUAUUAAUUGAUUGUUCUCAUUUGUUAAUAAUGCUAAAGCGUUGUUAUAUGAAAUAUGAUUUUUAGAAAAAAUUAUAUAACACCAAACUAUGAUAAAUUAUUCUAAAAUGUCAUACUAAUUGUAUGAAAACAAUCAAUGCUAGUCUGUGACUUGAAGAUGAAAGAACAAAUGCUCUAUAUAUCUGUACUCAUAUGCAUUCUUUUUUUUUCACUUUUACAUGAUAUUAAUAUGAUAUAAUGUUGUCGUGCUCAAAAAAUUGCACUUAAGAUUUUGCACUUGAGAAAUUUUGGUAAAAAAAAUCGCUUAACUUUUACUUAACUUUUAAAGAAUUUAACCUAUAGUUUUAUAUCACAUCAAAAAUAUUUAAAAAUAUAAUUGUUAUUUUAUAAAGUAUACAGCUAUCAAACAUA